rnacentral:sRNA from 1 species
GUGAGGGAGGGUGUGACUAGUGACAGUUAAGCAGGGAAGGGGUGACUAGUGACAGAGGGAGGGGUGACUAGGGACAGAGUGAGGGAGGUGGUGACUAGUGACAGUCACCACCUCCCUCACUCUGUCACUAGUCAUCACCUCCCUCCGUCACUGUGUCACCCCCUCCCUCACUCUGUCACCAGUCAUCCCCUUACUCUGUCACUAGUCACCCCUCCCUUCCCUCAC